GAUGAAGAACGCAGCGAAAUGCGAUAAGUAAUGUGAAUUGCAGAAUUCAGUGAAUCAUCGAGUCUUUGAACGCACAUUGCGCCCCCUGGUAUUCCGGGGGGCAUGCCUGUCCGAGCGUCAUUGCUGCCCUCAAGCACGGCUUGUGUGUUGGGCCCCGCCCCCCGGCUCCCGGGGGGCGGGCCCGAAAGGCAGCGGCGGCAUCGCGUCCGGUCCUCGAGCGUAUGGGGCUUCGUCACCCGCUCCGUAGGCCCGGCCGGCGCCCGCCGGCGACCCCCCUCAAUCUUUUCAGGUUGACCUCGGAUCAGGUAGGGAUACCCGCUGAACUUAAGCAUAUCAAUAAGCGGAGGA
rnacentral:misc_RNA from 1 species